rnacentral:rRNA from 1 species
AACGAACGCUGGCGGCAGGCUUAACACAUGCAAGUCGAGCGCCCCGCAAGGGGAGCGGCAGACGGGUGAGUAACGCGUGGGAACGUACCCUUUGCUACGGAAUAGCUCCGGGAAACUGGAAUUAAUACCGUAUGUGCCCUACGGGGGAAAGAUUUAUCGGCAAAGGAUCGGCCCGCGUUGGAUUAGCUAGUUGGUGGGGUAAUGGCCUACCAAGGCGACGAUCCAUAGCUGGUCUGAGAGGAUGAUCAGCCACAUUGGGACUGAGACACGGCCCAAACUCCUACGGGAGGCAGCAGUGGGGAAUAUUGGACAAUGGGCGCAAGCCUGAUCCAGCCAUGCCGCGUGAGUGAUGAAGGCCUUAGGGUUGUAAAGCUCUUUCACCGGAGAAGAUAAUGACGGUAUCCGGAGAAGAAGCCCCGGCUAACUUCGUGCCAGCCGCCGCUGUAACAC